rnacentral:lncRNA from 1 species
AAAAAAAAAAAAAAAAAAAAGAGUGCUUCCACAUUAAAUCAAGAAAGACACACACACAAGUGAACUGGAAGAGUAUCACACCCUCUUAGGCCUCAAUGUCCACAACAUCACUGGCCACAGCUUUUAGUUUCAGGAGGUGAGAUAUGAAAACAAACCUAAUGGGCAAAGCAGAUCUAAACAGGGUAAGACCUGGAGCCCCGGCCCCAUGCAGCCUGCAGAAGGUGAGUGAGGUCGGCCUCCCCUCAUUCCACAGUUGCCUCUUUCCAGAGACCCUGGGUGUCUGGAGGGAUAUAGAGUGAUGUGGCCAGGCGCUGUGCCCGGGGAAAUGACAUUAAAAUUAGUAAUAGUAGGGGAAAAAAAAGAAAUACUUUCCUUUACAGACAACAGAAUGCAACUUGAGGCAAACCAUUCUAUACAUACAGUCUCAGAAACGAUUCCAGAUUUCCGACCUGCGUGUUUUGUUUCUUUGUUUGUUUAUGUCAAGACUUUACAAUUUGCCAUGAAUCAAAAACACACAUGAGCUCAGGGGAUAGAAAGAAAUAUUCAGAAAGAGUCUGAGUGGAAUUUGGAUUAGGAUGGGUGUUUUUUGGCUCCGAGUCCUGUGUCCAAGUGACAGCUGCUGUGCCAUAAUAAUAGAUCAGCUUACAAUACGUAGAUAUAGACAGGCAGACAAUAGACAAUCUGUGUAUGAAACAGGCUGCCUAAAAAUGCUGAUUAUCUAAAAGCUUGUGAGCCUAGGUCAUCAAAGCCAUCUCACCAGGUGAGUGUUCACUCUUCCCUCAGCGGGCCCUCCCAGAAGUCAUGUUAAGCAGUUUCUGACGGUAUUCAUAUUUUAAUCCUCAGAAGCCCUGGAGGCUCUCACCUCCCACUUCAGGCUGCCCAAAGUCACAGAGCCUGUGACUCCAGGACUCAUCUUUCUACAAACGCUUUGGUUGGCCAGCGCUUCCUUUUACCGUCAGCCGCCCCUGCCCGGGACACUUGCAGAUCAGGGGACUUUGUGGGUCUCAUUGAGGCUGUAUUUGCGGAUUCAAUUACGCAUUUUUAAUUCCGCAAAUAUUUGCCACUGCUGCCUGACCUGGAGCCUGUGUGGCCAGAUCCUUUGAUCGAAAGCCGUCUGCCUGUGGAUCAGACCCUGUGAGAAGAAAAUGACAGGAGCAGAAGGUCAAAGGGAAGCAUCGAGAGAAAGAGGAUGAAUUGACACCUGUGGCUAAUUGAAGUGAAAUCAGAUCACAGAGGCCAUGAGACCCACGUCCAGAGGGCCCUAGGAGGGAGCUGUGGGCUCAGCUGGUUGAUUUACUCUGGCUUGGGUCGCUGCUACUGCUUUGAGGACAAUAAGCUUGGCCAUCACCAGACACCAGAGGAUGCUGAAGGGACAGCCGGCUAGACUAUUUCAUGGACUCUCUGAGCAUGUCCUAUUGCAGUCCAGGUACAAACUUUUCCUCCAGAAAUAGACAGAGGGAUGCUGCUUCCCAAUUUCAGCAAAGGCAGUGGAAAGAUCCCGGUCAAAAGUAGAAACUCUGGGUCCAGGCCUUCCAGCUGACACUCACUCUGAUAUGGUUUGGCUGUGUUCCCACCCAAAUCUCAACUUGAAUUGUAUCUCUCAGAAUUCCCACGAGUUGUAGGAGGGAUCCAGGUGGAGGUAAUUGAAUCAUGGGGUGGGUCUUUCCCAUGCUAUUCUCGUGAUAGUGAAUAAGUCUCACCA